CCUACGGGUUGCACCAGUGGGGAAUAUUGCACAAUGGGCGCAAGCCUGAUGCAGCCAUGCCGCGUGUAUGAAGAAGGCCUUCGGGUUGUAAAGUACUUUCAGCGGGGAGGAAGGCGAUAAGGUUAAUAACCUUGUCGAUUGACGUUACCCGCAGAAGAAGCACCGGCUAACUCCGUGCCAGCAGCCGCGGUAAUACGGAGGGUGCAAGCGUUAAUCGGAAUUACUGGGCGUAAAGCGCACGCAGGCGGUCUGUCAAGUCGGAUGUGAAAUCCCCGGGCUCAACCUGGGAACUGCAUCUGAUACUGGCAAGCUUGAGUCUCGUAGAGGGGGGUAGAAUUCCAGGUGUAGCGGUGAAAUGCGUAGAGAUCUGGAGGAAUACCGGUGGCGAAGGCGGCCCCCUGGACGAAGACUGACGCUCAGGUGCGAAAGCGUGGGGAGCAAACAGGAUUAGAUACCCUCGUAGUC
rnacentral:rRNA from 1 species